UCAGCAACACAAUAGGUCCUGCCAUAAAGGAUUACAGAUAUGACAAGCCUCAUAGAUUAUUCCCUUCAAUGAGCAUGUCGAGUACUUGCUUGCCCACAUUUUCACCUUCUCAUAAUUCUUCACCUCAAGGUUAUUUUGGGAGGAAUAAACACUUAGUGCAUAUUUGCUACUGUAUACCAAAUGGAUCACUGGUCCAACAAAAAAAGUGAGA
rnacentral:lncRNA from 1 species